CAAAGUUCAGCUUUCUUUGCAGUGUUUUUUCUGUUCUGUGACUUUAUUUUAUAACUGUACAAUGGGAUGACCGGAGGCAGUAUGUGCAAUCAGUUUGUUGCAUUCCUGUUAUGCUAACAUGAGCUAACGUUAGCAACCGCUAGCUAACGUAACGGAUCACCAGUGGCUGAAACCUUGGACCAGACAGUCUGUCCAGACAGUCGUCAACACUUAUGAUUUUUCAUCUGGGGCUGCUCCUUGUUACAUGCGCUUUGGGCUGAUCUGUCCUCAAGUGUACCUGAGCACUGAGUUUCCUCGAGCUUCAAAGACAUUUCGGAUCAAACAUAGUAUUGAGGGGCACUACAGCUAUCCAAGGUAUGUUAUCAAUGUGCAUAUUUCUGCAUCAGUUGUUGGCUUGCUAAUCAGACAUGCUGAGGAUAUAAAAAAAUACUACAUUGCUAGAACUGGAGCCAACAACAUUUCACAGUGGAUGACAUUUUAACAUUAAAGAAGAUAUUUUAACCCUGACUUGAGACGUAGGUGGGAUGUUGUACUGUUUUAGAAAAGUGCAUUAGUCCAGCUGUGACUGUGAGAUUUCAUAAAGAAUGUCUAUAUUUCAGAAAUGAUUGACAGUGAUCAAAAGCCAAGAAAACUAUUACAGCAUUAAGUGUAAACAUUUUUCACUGUAGGCU